GCGGACAUAGUACAUCGGUAGUACACGAGCUUCCCAAGCUUGAGAGGCGGGUUCGAUUCCCGUUGUCCGCU
rnacentral:tRNA from 1 species